UUUUCGGCGCAGACAAAAGUGCUUCCCAACAGCCAGGUGUUUGCUGACAUCAGUGACCUUUCCUAAGACGCCGGCCAGAUCUGGGGCUGGGUAGGUGAGAAGGCAGAGGAACCUUCUGUGCGCUGGACGUCACUGGGAAGAGCCUGAGGAAUGCUUUUGCGUCACAGAACGUGACAUGCAGAUAUUGGUAUUGUUUGUUUAAAAAGAAAACACAUGGACUUAUGGCGUGAAGAGGCAAAGACGUCAUUGGCAUCAACUAAAGAUGACCAUACACUCGUCCCCAGACUGAGCACCCAUAAAGACAGCUGACAGACAUGUUGUUUAUACACAUUAUUAUAAACAUCAACCCUGAAUAUUCAUUGGAAGGACUGUUUCUGAAGCUGAAGCUCCAAUACUUUGGCCACCUGAUGAGAAGAGCCAACUCACUGGAAAAGAUCCUGCUGCUGGGAAAGAUUGAAGGGAGGAGAAGGGAAUGACAGAGGGUGAGAUGGUUGGAUGGCAUCACCAACUCAAUGGACAUGAGUUUGAGCAAACUCCGGGAGAUGGUG